CUUCCCUCUUUCUUCGUGCUUCACACCUGCAAGUCGAACGGAAAGGCUCCUGCUUGCAGGGGUACUCGAGUGGCGAACGGGUGAGUAACACGUGGGUGAUCUGCCCUGCACUUCGGGAUAAGCCUGGGAAACUGGGUCUAAUACCGGAUAGGACGAUGGUUUGGAUGCCAUUGUGGAAAGUUUUUCGGUGUGGGAUGAGCUCGCGGCCUAUCAGCUUGUUGGUGGGGUAAUGGCCUACCAAGGCGUCGACGGGUAGCCGGCCUGAGAGGGUGUACGGCCACAUUGGGACUGAGAUACGGCCCAGACUCCUACGGGAGGCAGCAGUGGGGAAUAUUGCACAAUGGGCGCAAGCCUGAUGCAGCGACGCCGCGUGGGGGAUGACGGCCUUCGGGUUGUAAACUCCUUUCGCUAGGGACGAAGCGCAAGUGACGGUACCUGGAGAAGAAGCACCGGCUAACUACGUG
rnacentral:rRNA from 1 species